rnacentral:rRNA from 1 species
GACGAACGCUGGCGGCGUGCUUAACACAUGCAAGUCGAACGAGUGGCGAACGGGUGAGUAACACGUGGGUGAUCUGCCUUGCACUUCGGGAUAAGCUUGGGAAACUGGGUCUAAUACCGGAUAGUGCAAGCUGAGCUCGCGGCCUAUCAGCUUGUUGGUGGGGUAAUGGCUACCAAGGCGCGACGGGUAGCCGGCCUGAGAGGGUGUACGGGCCCAUUUGGUCUGGGGUACGGUCCAGACUCCUUCCGGAGGCAGCAGGGGGGAAUUUUGCACAAUGGGGGAAACCCUGAUGCAGCGACGCCGCGUGAUUUAGAAGGCCUUCGGGUUGUAAAAAUCUUUUCUAUGGGAAGCAGUACCAUAGGAAUAAGGACCGGCUAAUUACGUGCCAGCAGCCGCGGUAAUUC